UCAUUACCGAGUGAGGGCCCUCUGGGUCCAACCUCCCACCCGUGUUUAUUUUACCUUGUUGCUUCGGCGGGCCCGCCUUAACUGGCCGCCGGGGGGCUUACGCCCCCGGGCCCGCGCCCGCCGAAGACACCCUCGAACUCUGUCUGAAGAUUGAAGUCUGAGUGAAAAUAUAAAUUAUUUAAAACUUUCAACAACGGAUCUCUUGGUUCCGGCAUCGAUGAAGAACGCAGCGAAAUGCGAUACGUAAUGUGAAUUGCAAAUUCAGUGAAUCAUCGAGUCUUUGAACGCACAUUGCGCCCCCUGGUAUUCCGGGGGGCAUGCCUGUCCGAGCGUCAUUGCUGCCCUCAAGCCCGGCUUGUGUGUUGGGCCCCGUCCCCCGAUCUCCGGGGGACGGGCCCGAAAGGCAGCGGCGGCACCGCGUCCGGUCCUCGAGCGUAUGGGGCUUUGUCACCCGCUCUGUAGGCCCGGCCGGCGCUUGCCGAUCAACCCAAAUUUUUAUCCAGGUUGACCUCGGAUCAGGUAGGGAUACCCGCUGAACUUAAGCAUAUCAA
rnacentral:rRNA from 1 species